GAGUGGCGAACGGGUGAGUAAUAUAUCGGAACGUACCCUAGAGUGGGGGAUAACGCAGCGAAAGUUGCGCUAAUACCGCAUACGAUCUACGGAUGAAAGCGGGGGAUCGCAAGACCNNNNNCUCAUGGAGCGGCCGAUAUCUGAUUAGCUAGUUGGUGGGGUAAAGGCCUACCAAGGCAUCGAUCAGUAGCUGGUCUGAGAGGACGACCAGCCACACUGGAACUGAGACACGGUCCAGACUCCUACGGGAGGCAGCAGUGGGGAAUUUUGGACAAUGGGGGCAACCCUGAUCCAGCAAUGCCGCGUGAGUGAAGAAGGCCUUCGGGUUGUAAAGCUCUUUUGUCAGGGAAGAAACGGUGAGGGCUAAUAUCCUUUGCUAAUGACGGUACCUGAAGAAUAAGCACCGGCUAACUACGUGCCAGCAGCCGCGGUAAUACGUAGGGUGCAAGCGUUAAUCGGAAUUACUGGGCGUAAAGCGUGCGCAGGCGGUUAUGUAAGUCAGAUGUGAAAUCCCCGGGCUCAACCUGGGAAUGGCAUUUGAGACUGCAUGGCUAGAGUGUGUCAGAGGGGGGUAGAAUUCCACGUGUAGCAGUGAAAUGCGUAGAGAUGUGGAGGAAUACCGAUGGCGAAGGCAGCCCCCUGGGAUAACACUGACGCUCAUGCACGAAAGCGUGGGGAGCNNNCAGGAUUAGAUACCCUGGUAGUCCACGCCCUAAANNNUGUCUACUAGUUGUCGGGACUUAANNNUCUUGGUA
rnacentral:rRNA from 1 species